CACCCCCUUGUGCCCUCUGGCUGGUUCAAAGCAGCAACCCCCGGCAGUAGUCCAGCAUACUGGGCUUGGACAUAGAAGGUCACCCCCAAAGCACAGCAAGGAGAGGUGUUAUAAUCUUCUAAUCAUGUGGCGAUGGAGAUGGCAAGGACUUCAUUAAAGCAGCGACAUAAAUUAGAUUGACAGGGAGAGCUGCCCGCCCCCUGAAGGAGAACAGGAAGGCGACAGCAAAGACAAUCAAGUCCUUCAGUAGACUGACCUUCGACGUCUGAAAAGACCGAGAAACGGUCACGUUGCGGGGGUGGUAACCUAAGCAGAGAUGCCCAGACUUCCCUCUCUCCAAUUCUGAAGUGUUGCCAGGCCAGUUGAAAGACAUCGUCUCUCUCUACGGGAGGCAUCCUUACCAGAUACCGGAGCCACAAAGGAGCGUUCUUUAAAAAGCCAGGUGGCGCCAUGCUAACCAAUAGGCUCCAGCAUACCUGUGACCCUAGGGAUGAUAGAAGAUGGAUGGAUGGAAUGCUAACCAAGGAUAAAUAGACACCAGGUUCUCAGACUAGAUCUUAUCUGAUGAGUGUUGAACGGAGGAAGCCUUCUAAGACAACCUCAACACUCCAGUUGCAAGCUUUUAGCUUUUGUGUGAUAUGUUUUUUUUUUCAAAUAAAAUAUAAAACUGCAAAGUAUGUUUUUUAAUAAAAUAUUCCUGUCACUAUUAAGACCGAGUCUCUCAUGAACAGAUGUUCGGGGAAAACUGCUUAUGUCUCUG